UACGGAGGAUGCGAGCGUUAUCCGGAUUUAUUGGGUUUAAAGGGUGCGUAGGCGGCUUUUUAAGUCAGUGGUGAAAUUUUGCAGCUUAACUGUAACAGUGCCGUUGAUACUGGGGAGCUAGGAUUUGGUUGCUGUGGGUGGAAUGUGUGGUGUAGCGGUGAAAUGCUUAGAGAUCACACAGAAUAUCGAUUGCGAAGGCAGCUCACAAAGCCAAGAUUGACGCUGAGGCACGAAAGUGUGGGGAUCAAACAGGGAUUA
rnacentral:rRNA from 1 species